AAUUCCUGAGCCAGAAAUGAAGCAAUUUUAUCCCUGAGACGGUAACUCCCAUGCCUGACUGAAAUUCCAGCCCACACCCUCCUCAUCCUACACCCAACCCAACUACUACUCAGGUUGGUCUGGCAAUUUUGUGCUUGGCCGUUGCUUGCCCUGGCCUCAUGGUAAAUAACCUGGUGUGUUUUUUCCUUCAUUUAAAAUUUUUCCCCUAUUUUUCAGCUUUUAUAAAUCCCCAACAAAACUCCAUGUAUCCUGCUGCUUGUUAUACACCAUUUUCAGGAUGUUAACUGUUGUUUCAUACGAACUUUUUGAGUGGCCAAUACAACUGGGAAUCUACAGAUGGUUCUAGAAUCCAGCCUCAUGAUUCUAACAUAAUUGUGAAGUUUUAUAGUUCUAUCCUCCUUCAACAGCAAAGAUAUAUAGAGCACCUCUUAUGUGCUAGGCACCGUGCUGCGUGUUAAGAAUAUAAAAAGCUAUAAAAUAUACGAGAAUGGUAAUGCUGAAGUGUGAGAAGGAGUGACUAAUAAGCCUGGGGAAAUGAAGAUAGAUUUUAUGAAAGAAAAGACAUUUGACUAGGCUCUAGAAGGUGAAUGUUGGAUGACGAAGGGAUAGCGGUCAGGGCGCCAGACGGCAUCCCAGCCAGGAGAAAUUGCGGGAGGUGUGAAGACGUUUGGCAAGCAGCCUGUGAGUCUGCAGUGUUUGGCAGGAGAUGUGCUGGAAAAGGAUGCUGAGGUCAGAUUGUGAUGGGCCCGGAAGGUCUACUGGGAUGCUGGACCUACUUUGUAGGCAAACAGGAACGUCGAGAUUUUGUAAGCAGUACUGAAGGAAAUAGUUGCUGUAUAUUUCUUCCUGAGGCACACACUGUAAAUAUACUGUGAGUCAGGAAAACACUGAGAAGUUCCAAGGUUGGCAAAUCAUUUUAGAAGGAAAAAGUCAUCAGGAACAUGAGACUCCAAAGAAACAGAUGUACCUCUAAAUGAUCUGAAGAUCCAAGUCUACCAUUAACUCCUGGGUUUAAAAAUCUCUAAUGCUUCCCCAUCGCCUAACGAGGACAAACCUAUUACAGCAUAUCUGACAAGGCCAUUCCUGAACCCUGCCCAGUCUGAGUCACCUGCUGCAUCUUCUCCUCAGAACUGGGGUAGGAGCAUUGAGCUACCAGCUGCUCCUAAAUGCACUAUGCUUUUUCAUACUGUUCCCUUUGCUUAGGAUGCUAUUCUCUUUCUAAUCAUCCUUUGAUCUCUAAAGAUACCUCAGGACCGUGAGAAAAGGUGAUCUCUGCAGUUUCUCCUGACAUUCCCGGGCAGAAUAUUUCCUUUUUCUGUGCUCCAACAAUUGUGUGUUCAUGUAUUGAUUACCAUACUUCUCACAUGUUCUAAUUAAUAUAUAUAUGUGUGUGUGUGUGUAUAUAU